AAAAUGCAAAUACCAAAGAAGAUCACCAGAGGCAGCAGCACUGUGGUGCCUGGAGACAAAAGACAGCUAAAAGAAGAGACCGCACAGAACUGGAAGUAAUCUCGAGGAGGCUGUGUAGAAAAAGUAAUUCAAAGCAGUCAAGGGCACGGUAUGA